AUUGAACGCUGGCGGCAUGCUUUACACAUGCAAGUCGAACGGCAGCGCGGGCUUCGGCCUGGCGGCGAGUGGCGAACGGGUGAGUAAUGCAUCGGAACGUGCCCAGUAGUGGGGGAUAGCCCGGCGAAAGCCGGAUUAAUACCGCAUACGACCUGAGGGUGAAAGCGGGGGCCCAAAAGGCACCGGCGGUUUGGCCGGCCCGAUGUCGGAUAAGCUAGUUGGUGGGGUAAGGGCUUACCAAGGCGACGUUCCGUAGCUGGUCUGAGAGGACGACCAGCCACACUGGGACUGAGACACGGCCCAGACUCCUACGGGAGGCAGCAGUGGGGAAUUUUGGACAAUGGGGGCAACCCUGAUCCAGCCAUGCCGCGUGCGGGAAGAAGGCCUUCGGGUUGUAAACCGCUUUUGUUCGGGAAGAAAUCCUCUGGGCUAAUACCCCGGGGGGAUGACGGUACCGGAAGAAUAAGCACCGGCUAACUACGUG
rnacentral:rRNA from 1 species